rnacentral:rRNA from 1 species
UACGUAGGGUGCAAGCGUUAAUCGGAAUACUGGGCGUAAAGCGUGCGCAGGCGGCUUUGCAAGACAGAUGUGAAAUCCCCGGGCUUAACCUGGGAACUGCAUUUGUGACUGCAUGGCUGGAGUGCGGCAGAGGGGGAUGGAAUUCCGCGUGUAGCAGUGAAAUGCGUAGAUAUGCGGAGGAACACCGAUGGCGAAGGCAAUCCCCUAGGCCUGCACUGACGCUCAUGCACGAAAGCGUGGGGAGCAAACAGG